UCUUGCGAUGAGGCUGAACCAAUGACUUAGCGAGGCAAAGAGGCGAUGGGAAUUCCAGGCAGAAGAAACAGCAGGCACAAAGGCCCUGUGGAUGGAAGGAGACUGAUCCAUUAGAGAACUGAAGGAAGCCUCCCAGUGUGGCUGCAGUAAGAGGGAGAGGAAGCAGGCAUGGGGGCACCCAUGCAGGACCCUACAGGCCACAGGGAGGAGUUUGGCAUUUUUCCUGGGAGAAAAGGGAGCCCCCAGUGAAUGACAAGCUGGCAGGGCCUGGAGCAGCCCUCCAAGUGCCACCCUGGCUGCUCCAGUGCCCGAGCCUUGCUCACUUCCCUAGAACCCCAUCUGCCGGGCCACAGUUGGCAAUGGCCGGGUAAGCAGACAGAGCUACCUGCACCACCUGCUCUGGGACAGUGAAACGUCAGCUGCAGAGGCUCGCCCCAGAGCAGCCUCGCAGCUGGGGAUGAAGCCUGCCAGGGCCUGACCUCCAGGCCAGGAGUGCCUCCUGGGGGCUCGGCUGCUGGCUCCAGCCCCCGGUGAGGCCAGCCUUGCCUCUUCCUCCUCUCUGGAUGGAGCUGGGCUGACCCACGUGUGUCAGGGGCAGGGAGGAGAAAUGCCCAGCUCCCAUCCUUGCUCUGUCCCUUGUGAGCCGUGUGAUUCUGGAGACGUUAUUUACUUCCUUACUCUGGUUUCCUCAUCUGUGGAAUAAGGUGAUGCUCGGGUCCAUAUUCUGGGGUGUGUUGUCACGACAAAACAAGUGAAAAACCUGGGGCAGAGCUGAGACCAGGUGAGCAGUGUGGGAGAGCAGAGGGUUCUGGAGGCAGCCCCACCCUGGCAUGCAGAGCUGCCUUAUCUCCACCAUGACCUGAGAUGUUGCCUGAGCCAUCACAUGCCACUGAGCCUGUGCCCCAACAUCUGUCAAAUGAAGGAGGUGACCUUGAUGAUGAUAAAGAUGCUGGACAGUGGACACUUCCUAAAGCUUCAAAGGAUGCCUGGC
rnacentral:lncRNA from 1 species